GAUGAACGCUGGCGGCGUGCCUAAUACAUGCAAGUCGAGCGAACAGACGAGGAGCUUGCUCCUCUGACGUUAGCGGCGGACGGGUGAGUAACACGUGGAUAACCUACCUAUAAGACUGGGAUAACUUCGGGAAACCGGAGCUAAUACCGGAUAAUAUAUUGAACCGCAUGGUUCAAUAGUGAAAGACGGUUUUGCUGUCACUUAUAGAUGGAUCCGCGCCGCAUUAGCUAGUUGGUAGGGUAACAGCUUACCAAGGCAACGAUGCGUAGCCGACCUGAGAGGGUGAUCGGCGACACUGGAACUGAGACACGGACAAGACUACUACGGGAGGCAGCAGAAGGGAAUCUUCCGCAAUGGGCGAAAGCCUGACGGAGCGACGCGGCGUGAGUGAUGAAGGUCUUCGGAUCGGAAAACUCUGUUAUUAGGGAAGAACAAAUGUGUAAGUAACUAUGCACGGCUUGACGGUACCUAAUCAGAAAGCCACGGCUAACUACGUG
rnacentral:rRNA from 1 species